AUAUUGGGCAAUGGGCGCAAGCCUGACCCAGCCAUGCCGCGUGAAGGAUGAAUGCCCUAUGGGUUGUAAACUUCUUUUGUACGGGACAAAACUCUCGGUCGUGACCGGGAUUGAUGGUACUGUAUGAAUAAGCACCGGCUAACUCUGUGCCAGCAGCCGCGGUAAUACAGAGGGUGCGAGCGUUGUUCGGAAUCACUGGGCGUAAAGCGCGCGCAGGCGGGACGUGCAAGUCGGGAGUGAAAGGCCGGGGCUCAACCCCGGAGCUGCUUUCGAGACUGCGGACCUGGAGACCAGUAGGGGUUGGUGGAAUUCCCGGUGUAGCGGUGGAAUGCGUAGAUAUCGGGAAGAACACCCGUGGCGAAGGCGGCCAACUGGGCUGGAUCUGACGCUGAGGCGCGAAAGCGUGGGGAGCAA
rnacentral:rRNA from 1 species